rnacentral:rRNA from 1 species
AGAGGAGCUUGCUUUUCUUAGCUUAGUGGCGAACGGGUGAGUAACGCGUGAGUAACCUGCCCUGGAGUGGGGGACAACAGUUGGAAACGACUGCUAAUACCGCAUAAGCCCACAGAGCCGCAUGGCUCAGGGGGAAAAGGAGCAAUUCGCUUCAGGAUGGAUUCGCGUCCAAUUAGCUAGAUGGUGAGGUAACGGCCCACCAAGGCGACGAUCAGUAGCCGGACUGAGAGGUUGAACGGCCACAUUGGGACUGAGAUACGGCCCAGACUCC